CAGUCGCCGCGGUAAUACAGAGGGUGCGAGCGUUAAUCGGAUUUACUGGGCGUAAAGCGUGCGUAGGCGGCUAAUUGAGUCGGAUGUGAAAUCCCUGAGCUUAACUUAGGAAUUGCAUUCGAUACUGGGAAGCUAGAGUAUGGGAGAGGAUGGUAGAAUUCCAGGUGUAGCGGUGAAAUGCGUAGAGAUCUGGAGGAAUACCGAUGGCGAAGGCAGCCAUCUGGCCUAAUACUGACGCUGAGGUACGAAAGCAUGGGGAGCAAACAGGAUUAGAUACCCUGUAGCCCUGUCUCUUAUACAC
rnacentral:rRNA from 1 species